UAUAGUGUUCGAAUCCUUGGUCAAAUACCAUAUGUUGAUUUUUUUGAGCAUCGUGGUAUCGGGAAUCCGGUGAGAAUCCGGAACUGACGCGCAGCGGUAUUGGAGAACGAGCGUGGCAUAAAGACACUGGUGAAAACCGGGAAGUCGCCACGCGAGGCCGAAUCACACGAUUCACGCUCCUGAGUCCGAAGACCUGCCAGGGAGGUGCUGUUGUC
rfam:Marinobacter similis strain A3d10, complete genome.